rnacentral:rRNA from 1 species
CGCAAAGCAGACACAACGCUGGCGGUGCGCUUAUGCAUGCAGUCGAGCGAAGCUUUUCCAGCUAGCGUUUACUACAGAAAAUGACUGAGCGGCGAACGGGUGAGUAACGCGUGAGCAAUCUACCUUAGUUACAGGGAUAGCCCGAGGAAACUCGGAUUAAUACCUGAUAUUCUUUAUUUCUCGCAUGAGAAUAAAAGGAAAGGUCAGCCGAACUAAGAUGAGCUCGCGUUCUAUCAGCUAGUUGGUGAGGUAAAAGCUCACCAAGGCUACGACGGAUAGCUGGUCUGAGAGGACGAUCAGCCACACUGGGACUGAGACACGGCCCAGACUCCUACGGGAGGCUGCAGCAGGGAAUAUUGCGCAAUGAGCGAAAGCUUGACGCAGCGACACCGCGUGUGGGAUGACGGAUCUAGGUUUGUAAACCACUUUCAGGAGGGAAGAAAAUGACGGUACCUCCACAAGAAGCCCCGGCCAACUACGUGCCAGCAGCCGCGGUAAUACGUAGGGGGCGAGCGUUGUCCGGAUUUAUUGGGCGUAAAGAGCUCGUAGGCGGUUCAACAAGUCGGUCGUGAAAGUUCAGGGCUCAACCCUGAAAUGUCGAUCGAUACUGUUGUGACUAGGAUACGGUAGAGGUGAGUGGAAUUCCGAGUGUAGCGGUGAAAUGCGUAGAUAUUCGGAGGAACACCAUAGCGAAGGCACUCACUGGGCCGGUAUCGACGCUUAGGAGCGAAGCUAAGGGAGCA